rnacentral:lncRNA from 1 species
UGAGGGUCAGGUUAUUCAGGUGUAGGUUAUUCAGGGGCAGGUAAUCCAGGGUUAAGUAAUUAAGGGGUAUGUAAUUCAGAGCAAGGUAAUUCAGUGGCAGGUAAUUGAGGGGCAUGUAAUUCAGGGGCAUGCAAUUGAGGUGCAGGUAAUUCAGGGGCAUGUAAUUGAGGUGCAGGUAAUUAAGGGGCAUGUAAUUCAGGUGUAUGUAAUUGAGGUGCAUGUAAUUCAGGGGUAGGUAAUUAAGGGGCAGGUAAUUCAGGGGCAUGUAAUUCAUGGGUGGGUAAUUCAGAGGAAUGUAAUUCAGGGGCAUGUAAUUCAGGGGUAAUUCAGGGAAGGUAAUUUAAAGGAUUGUAAUUCAGGGUUAGGUAAUUCAGGGUUAGGUAAUCCAGGGGCAGGUAAUUCAGGGACAGGUAAUUUAGAGGAAUGUCAUUCAUGGGCAGGUAAUUCAGGGGUAUGUAAUUCAGUGGCUUGUAAUUAAGAGGCAUCUAAUUGAGGGCCAUGUAAUUCAGAUGUUUGCAAUUCAGCGGCAGGUAAUUCAGAUGCAUGUAAUUUAGGGGCAAGUACUUCAGGGGUAUGUAAUUCAGGGGCAGGUAAUUCAGAUGUAUGUUAUUCAGGGGAAGGUAAUUCAGGGGCAGGUAAUCCAGGGGCAUGUAAUUCAUGGGCAGGUAAUUGAAGGGCAUGUAAUUUAGGGGCAUGUAAUUUAGGGGCAGGUAAUUCAGGUGUAUGUAAUUCAGGUGCAUGUAAUUCAUGGGCAGGUAAUUCAGGGACAUGUCAUUCAGGGAAGGUAAUUCAGGGGCUGGUAAUUCAGGGGCAUGUAAUUCGGGCAUGUAAUUCAUGGGCGGGUAAUUGAGGGGAAGGUAAUCAAGGUGCAGGUGAUUUAGAGUAAUGUCAUUCAUUGGCAGGUAAUUCAGGGGCAGGUAUUCAGAGGAAUGUAAUUCAGUGGCAUGUAAUUCAGGGGAAGGUAAUUAAGGGACAGGUAAUUUAUAGGAAUGUCAUUCAUGGGCAGGUAAUUCAGGGGCAGGUAAUUCAGGGGCAUGUAAUUCAUGGGCAGGUAAUUGAGGGGCAUAUUCAGGGGCAUGUAAUUUAGGGGCAGGUAAUUCACGGGCAGGUAAUUCACGGGCAUGUAAUUCAGGUGUAUGUAAUUUAUGGGCAGCUAAUUCAGGGGUAUGUAAUUCAGGGGAAUGUCAUUCAGGGGCAGGUAAUUCGGGCAUGUAAUUCAUGUGCGGGUAAUUGAGGGGAAGGUAAUCCAGGUGCAGGUGAUUUAGAGUAAUGUCAUUCAUUGGCAGGUAAUUCAGGGGCUGGUAAUACAGAGCAAUGUAAUUAAGGGAAGGUAAUCCAGGGGGGAGGUAAUUUAUAGGAAUGUAAUUCAUGGGAAUGUAAUUCGGGGGUAAUUGAGGUGCAGGUAAUUGAGGGGCUUGUAAUCCAGGUGUAUGUAAUUCAGGGGCAUGUAAUUCGUGGGUGGGUAAUUCAGAGGAAUGUAAUUCGGGGGAAGGUCAUCCAGGGGCAGGUAAUUCAGGCGUAAUUCAGGGACAGGUAAUUUAGAGGAAUGUCAUUCAUGUGCAGGUAAUCCAGGGGCAUAUAAUUCAGGGGCAGGUCAUUCAGGUGCAUGUAAUUCAGAGGCAUGUAAUUCACGGGCAGGUAAUUCAGGGGCUGGUGAUUUAGGGAUAGAUAAUUCAGAGGCAUGUCAUUCAGGGGCAGGUCAUUCAGGUGCAUGUAAUUAAGAGACAGGUAAUUCAGGGCCAUGUAAUUCAGGUGCUUGUAAUUCAGGGGCACGUAAUUCAGAUGCAUGUAAUUUAGGGGCAGGUACUUCAGGGGAAGGUAAUUUAGGGGCAUUUAAUUCAUGGGCAGGUAAUUGAGGGGCAUGUAAUUUAGGGCCAGGUAGUUCACGGGCAGGUAAUUGAGGGGCAUGUCAUUCAGGGGCAGGUAAUUCAGUGGCAUGUAAUUCACGGGCAGGUAAUUCACGGGCAUGUAAUUCAAGUGUAUGUAAUUCAGGGGCAGGUAAUUCAGGGGCAUGUAAUUCAGGUGCAUGUAAUUAAUGGGCAGGUAAUUCAGGGGCAUGUAAUUCGUGGGUGGGUAAUUCAGAGGAAUGUAAUUCAGGGGAAGGUAAUCCAGGGGCAGGUAAUUCAGGGGUAAUUCAGGGACAGGUAACUCAAAGGAAUGUCAUUCAUCUGCAGGUAAUUUAGGGGCAGGUAAUCUAGGGGCAUGUAAUUCAGAUGAAAGGUAAUUCAGGGCAUGUCAUUCACGGGCUGGUAAUUUAGGGAUAGAUAAUUCAGAGGCAUGUCAUUCAGGGGCAGGUCAUUCAGGGUCAUGUAAUUUAGGGGCAGGUAGUUCAGGGGCAGGUAAUUCAUGGCCAUUUAAUUCAUGGGCAGGUAAUUCAUGGGCAGGUAAUUCAUGGGCAGGUAAUUGAGGGGCAGGUAAUUCAGGGGCAUGUAAUUUAGGGGCAGGUAAUUCAGGUGUAUGUAAUUCAGGUGCAGGUUAUUCAGGGACUCAGGGGUAGAUAAUUCAGGGGCAUGUAAUUCAGGUGUAUGUAAUUCAGGGGCAUGUAAAUCAGUUGCAUGUAAUUGAGGGGCAUGUAAUUCAGGUGUAUGUAAUUCAGGUGUAUGUUAUUCAGGGGCAGGUUAUUCAGGUAUAGGUUAUUCAGGGGCAGGUAAUCCAGGGGUAACUAAUUAAGGGGCAGGUCAUUCAGGGGCAUGUAAUUUAGGGGCAGGUAAUUCACGGGCAGGUAAUUCACGGGCAUGUAAUUCAGGUGUAUGUAAUUUAUGGGAAGGUAAUUCAGGGGUAUGUAAUUCAGGGGCAUGUCAUUCAGGGGCAGGUAAAUCGGGCAUGUAAUUCAUGUGCGGGUAAUUGAGGGGAAGGUAAUCCAGGUGCAGGUGAUUUAGAGUAAUGUCAUUCAUUGGCAGGUAAUUCAGGGGCAGGUAAUACAGAGCAAUGUAAUUUAGGGGAAGGUAAUCCAGGGGAGGUAAUUUAUAGGAAUGUCAUUCAUGGACAGGUAAUUCAGGGUCUUGUAAUUCAGGGGCAUGUAAUUGAGGUGCAGGUAAUUGAGGGGCUCGUAAUCCAGGUGUAUGUAAUUCAGGGGCAUGUAAUUCGUGGGUGGGUAAUUCAGAGGAAUGUAAUUCAGGGGAAGGUAAUCCAGGCGCAGGUAAUUCAGGCGUAAUUCAGGGACAGGUAAUUUAGAGGAAUAUCAUUCAUGGGCAGGUAAUCCAGGGGCAUGUAAUUCAGGGGCAGGUAAUCGAGGUGCAUGUAAUUCAGGGGCAUGUCAUUCACGGGCAGGUAAUUCAGGGGCUGGUAAUUUAGGGAUAGAUAAUUCAGAGGCAUGAAAUUCAGGGGCAGGUCAUUCAGGUGCAUGUAAUUAUGAGGCAGUUAAUUCAGGUGCUUGUAAUUCAGGGGCACGUAAUUCAAAUGCAUGUAAUUUAGGGGCAGGUACUUCAGGGGAAGGUAUUUUAGGGGCAUUUAAUUCAUGGGCAGGUAAUUGAGGGGCAUGUAAUUUAGGGCCAGGUAGUUCACGGGCAGUUAAUUGAGGGGCAUGUCAUUCAGGGGCAGGUAAUUCACGGGCAUGUAAUUUAGGGGCAGGUAAUUCACGGGCAGGUAAUUCACGGGCAGGUAAUUCACGGGCAUGUAAAUCAGGUGUAUGUAAUUCAGGGGCAGGUAAUUCACGUGCAGGUUAUUCAGGGACUCAGGGGUAGAUACUUGAGGGGCAUGUAAUUCUGGGGCAGGUAAUUCAGGGGCAUUUAAUUCAGGUGCAUGUAAUUCAUGGGCAGGUAAUUCAGGGGUAUGUAAUUCAGGGGCAUGUCAUUCAGGGAAGGUAAUUCAGGGGCAGGUAAUUCAGGGUUAGGUAAUUCAGCGGCAUGUAAUUGAGGUGCAGGUAAUUGAGGGGCAUGUAAUUCAGGUGUCUGUAAUUCAGGUGUCUGUAAUUCAGGUGUAUGUAAUUCAGGGGUAGGUAAUUCAGGGGCAUGUAAUUCAGGGGCAUGUAAUUCGUAGGUGGGUAAUUCAGAGGAAUGUAAUUCAGGGGCAUGUAAUUCAGGGGAAGGUAAUCCAGGGGCAGGUAAUUCAGGGGUAAUUCAGGGACAGGUACCUUAGAGGAAUGUCAUUCAUCUGCAGGUAAU